rnacentral:sRNA from 1 species
AACACAUGCAAGUCGAGCGAGAAAGCCCGCAAGGGUGAGUACAGCGGCGCACGGGUGCGUAACACGUGGGUAAUCUACCUCGAAGUCUGGAAUAACUCCCCGAAAGGGGUGCUAAUGCCGGAUGAGACCACGGGAGCUGCGGCUCCCGAGGGAAAAGAUGGCCUCUGCAUGCAAGCUAUCGCUUCGAGAUGAGCCCGCGGCCCAUCAGCUUGUUGGCGGGGUAACGGCCCACCAAGGCGACGACGGGUAGCUGGUCUGAGAGGACGAUCAGCCACACUGGAACUGAGACACGGUCCAGACUCCUACGGGAGGCAGCAGUGGG